rnacentral:rRNA from 1 species
GUGGGGGAUAUUGCACAAUGGGCGAAAGCCUGAUGCAGCGAUGCCGCGUGGAGGAAGAAGGUCUUCGGAUUGUAAACUCCUGUCUUUAGGGACGAUAAUGACGGUACCUAAGGAGGAAGCUCCGGCUAACUACGUGCCAGCAGCCGCGGUAAUACGUAGGGAGCGAGCGUUGUCCGGAAUUACUGGGUGUAAAGGGAGCGUAGGCGGGGCGGCAAGUCAGGUGUGAAAUUUAUGGGCUUAACCCAUAACCUGCAUUUGAAACUGUCGCUCUUGAGUGAAGAAGAGGUUGGCGGAAUUCCUAGUGUAGCGGUGAAAUGCGUAGAUAUUAGGAGGAACACCAGUGGCGAAGGCGGCCAACUGGGCUUUUACUGACGCUGAGGCUCGAAAGCGUGGGGAGCAAACAGGAUUAGAAACCCUAGUAGUCC